rnacentral:snoRNA from 1 species
UUUUUCUGAUGAAUUCUUAAAGCCUAUCAGGGUCCCUCUUCUGAGUAGAACCCUUCAAAACCAUGCUGUCAACUUAUCCCUGUCUGAAA